AACAUGGAUGUUGUGAGUUUGUU
rnacentral:miRNA from 1 species